rnacentral:lncRNA from 1 species
UUGUUAUUCAUUAGAUUCCGGAGGAAUGACUUUAUUAGCAUUGGAGUUGGUAAUUUUGAUAAGGGGAGUACAGUUAAAGGUGGAGCAGCAGUAAAAAGACCAGAUACUGUUAUGGCAUAAAUAUUUGCUUAUAUUUAGUGUGUACUAAUUUUUUAUAUAUCGUAUAUAAUAUUAUAUGGUUGAUGGAAUAUUUAGUAUUAAUACUACAAAUUAAAAUAUAAUAUAAUACAAAUAUUUAAAUAAUUAAUGUCAUCAAAAAUCUAUUUUUGAUAUAUAUAUUUUAGAAUAGAUUUAUAGUGCAAUGAGCAUAUCCAAAAUUUUUAGUAGGCAUGUUAGUCCCCCAUUAGUGAGUAACUUAAUACGUAAUAAAGGUGGCUUUGUCACUUCCAACUGAGAGAAGAAAUUUUUGCUAGCAUCUGAUGUAUAUCAAUAUUUUAUACCCGCAUAAAAUAUGUCGGCUAAAAGAGAUGAGUAUUUUUAUGAAUAAAAAAUUAUAUAUCUUUUAAAUUUUAUAUAUAACUGAUCGAUAUUGUAAAAUCAAUCUUUAUAUUUAAUACACAUAAUUUAGAAUAUUUAAAAUUCAUUAGAUUGGAUUAAAA